rnacentral:lncRNA from 1 species
CAAGGAGGUUUCCCAACAAACCUGGCGUUGAUUUAGGUCCUACAUCAAACGAUGAAGUCUUAGGUUUUCAAACCAAGCAUGUCUUGAAAUCAAACAUAACGAAGCUAAUGAAGGCUUCUCAGCAAUCCAAGAGAAACAGUAAUUUAUUUGAAGACUGUCCUCCUGAUGUUAUUCCCUGAUUUGAAAUGACACAUGUUCUCAUGUCCUCUCUCCUGUUUUCACUGUAGUAGAAGCAAAAUGUGGCAUUUGGAGACCAGAGAGUACAACUUUCUCUGAGGACAAUAAUUCUGAUUUUGAACAUUGAGCAACAUUUGAGCAACAUUGAAGAUGUGGUUGAAACAUUUCCCAGACCAUCACCCUGGUUUGAGGGCAUCUGUCAGCCUGCCUUCCCAUCAUCUCAGCCUGUUGCAAAACUUCUCAAGUCUGUAGCAGGCCUUGGUCGUACAAAGAGUAUCUCUGAGAGCCUGCCACAGAAGUAUGUGGAUCAUUUACCUGGAGCUUCUGGUCAAAGAGGAAAAAAGACAUUAAAUGGACAAGUAGAAGAUUCUCCUGGGAAAUACCCUAACGUGAAGGUAGAAACGUUUAUGAUUUUAUCUUGAAUUUUGAACUGUGGAUUGUUGCAUAUGUACGUUAUUUAGUAAUCAACUUGUCUCCAAACC